rnacentral:lncRNA from 1 species
AGUGCUUGAAAUCUCCCACAAUCGUAGGUCAUUUGUCUCAGGUAUACACUAUAUGCUCCACCGAUAAUUCCACAGUCAAGUCUAUGGGGCUGCUAAACCUGGAAUAUUAGAUUUUGUCGCGAGUGACACACUAAAGUCAUUGACUUCGUGAUUUCUACAUUUUCCCCAAUAUCUUUCAACACUAACUCGUGCCAAAUGUAAUCGCACUUUAUCUGUCCCGCGUAUGUCUCAGCCUGCUUUUGAAAUAAU